GACCUGGUUGAGUGGUCUGCCUCAUGGUGUGUACUGUUUGACUGGGCCUUACCUCUUGGUGAGCUGGCGUACCCUUUAUUGGUGUGCGUCGGGGAACCAGGACUUUUACCUUGAGAAAAUUAGAGUGUUCAAAGCAGGCCUAUGCCCGAAUACAUUAGCAUGGAAUAAUAAAAUAGGAUGUGCGGUUCUAUUUUGUUGGUUUCUAGAGUCGCCAUA
rnacentral:rRNA from 1 species